GGAAGUAUGGCUAGAUGGCAGAGCACCUGUCCAUUAAGCAUGAGGCUCUAAGUUUAAAUCUCAGUACUGCCA
rnacentral:tRNA from 1 species